UACGGGAGGCAGCAGUGGGGAAUAUUGCACAAUGGGCGCAAGCCUGAUGCAGCCAUGCCGCGUGUAUGAAAAAGGCCUUCGGGUUGUAAAGUACUUUCAGUCGUGAGGAGGGUGUUAAGGUUAAUAACCUUAGCAAUUGACGUUAGCGACAGAAGAAGCACCGGCUAACUCCGUGCCAGCAGCCGCGGUAAUACGGAGGGUGCGAGCGUUAAUCGGAAUUACUGGGCGUAAAGGGCACGCAGGCGGUUAAUUAAGUUGGAUGUGAAAUCCCCGGGCUUAACCUGGGAAUGGCAUUCAAGACUGGUUAGCUAGAGUCUUGUAGAGGGGGUAGAAUUCCAUGUGUAGCGGUGAAAUGCGUAGAGAUGUGGAGGAAUACCGGUGGCGAAGGCGGCCCCUGGACAAAGACUGACGCUCAUGUGCGAAAGCGUGGGGAGCGAAACAGGGAUUAGAUACC
rnacentral:rRNA from 1 species